rnacentral:rRNA from 1 species
AGCCCCUACGGGAGGCAGCAGUGGGGAAUAUUGGACAAUGGGGGGAACCCUGAUCCAGCGACGCCGCGUGAGUGAAGAAGUAUUUCGGUAUGCAAAGCCCUGUCAGCAGGGAAGAAAAUGACGGUACCUGAAGAAGAAGCCCCGGCUAACUACGUGCCAGCAGCCGCGGUAAUACGUAGGGGGCAAGCGUUAUCCGGAUUUACUGGGUGUAAAGGGGGCGCAGACGGCGAUGCAAGCCAGGAGUGAAAGCCCGGGGCCCAACCCCGGGACUGCUCUUGGAACUGCGUGGCUGGAGGGCAGGAGGG